rnacentral:rRNA from 1 species
GAUGAACGCUGGCGGCGUGCCUAAUACAUGCAAGUCGAGCGAACAGACGAGGAGCUUGCUCCUCUGACGUUAGCGGCGGACGGGUGAGUAACACGUGGAUAACCUACCUAUAAGACUGGGAUAACUUCGGGAAACCGGAGCUAAUACCGGAUAAUAUAUUGAACCGCAUGGUUCAAUAGUGAAAGACGGUUUUGCUGUCACUUAUAGAUGGAUCCGCGCCGCAUUAGCUAGUUGGUAAGGUAACGGCUUACCAAGGCAACGAUGCGUAGACGACCUGAGAGGGUGAUCGGCCACACUGGAACUGAGACACGGUCCAGACUCCUACGGGAGGCAGCAGUAGGGAAUCUUACGCAAUGGGCGAAAGCCUGACGGAGCAACGCCGCGUGAGUGAUGAAGGUCUUCGGAUCGUAAAACUCUGUUAUUAGGGAAGAACAAAUGUGUAAGUAACUAUGCACGUCUUGACGGUACCUAAUCAGAAAGCCACGGCUAACUACGUG